UACGAAGGGGGCUAGCGUUGCUCGGAAUGACUGGGCGUAAAGGGCGCGUAGGCGGCUUGCACCGUCAGAUGUGAAAUUCCUGGGCUUAACCUGGGGGCUGCAUUUGAUACGUGUGGGCUUGAGUGCGGAAGAGGGUCGUGGAAUUCCCAGUGUAGAGGUGAAAUUCGUAGAUAUUCGCAGGAACACCAGUGGCGAAGGCGGCUCACUGGUCCGAUACUGACGCUGAGGUGCGAAAGCGUGGGGAGCAAACAGG
rnacentral:rRNA from 1 species